AGGUUCCGUAGGUGAACGUGCGGAAGGAUCAUUA
rnacentral:rRNA from 1 species